rnacentral:lncRNA from 1 species
UGCGGAUGCACCCUAUGUACUCCAGCCAAGUGUACUUCACAUUAGUUGGCUUUUGGAGGCAUGUUCAGCUGUAGCAGAGUUGCUCGACAUGCAGCUGAUGAGCUCACAAGCAGCGUGAAGGAAAGAGAAGGUGGUCUGAUGGGAUUCAUCAGCCUGUGGAGGCUAAAGAAUGUUUGAAGAUUCAGGUAUAUAUUUUUGACAGUUGGUGCGUGAAGUUCUUUUUUCUUCUUCUGUAUCUUGUCUCAAUCACCAUUCAUUGAAGUGCCAACAUAUGUGGCAAACAUUCUCAAUGUUUUUCCUAUUCAAAAGCUUUAGGAUAUUUAGUAUAUUUUUCUUUUUCUCACUUUUAUCUGAUAUCCAUACUUGUAUGGAAGUGCUUUCAACUUGAAAUAUAUU